CUGACAGCCCUGGAGUCUAGUCUUCUAUUUAUCCAAAGAAAGGAACAGCAUGGGUACCGAAAGCACAGGCUUCCUUACAUUGCCUCUCCAAACAUGCCUUAUUUUUGACCUCAAGCAGUGACCACCAAAGGGAAGACUGGAUGCUGUGCUCACUGAGAACUCAGCCUUCCUGCAAAC
rnacentral:sRNA from 1 species